rnacentral:rRNA from 1 species
UACAGAGGGGGCAAGCGUUGUUCGGAAUUACUGGGCGUAAAGGGCGCGUAGGCGGCCUUCUAAGUCGAACGUGAAAUCCCCGGGCUCAACCCGGGAACUGCGUCCGAUACUGGAAGGCUUGAAUCCGGGAGAGGGAUGUGGAAUUCCAGGUGUAGCGGUGAAAUGCGUAGAUAAUCUGGAGGAACACCGGUGGCGAAGGCGACAUCC